CCUACGGGCGGCUGCAGUGGGGAAUAUUGGACAAUGGGGGCAACCCUGAUCCAGCCAUGCCGCGUGUGUGAAGAAGGCCCUCGGGUUGUAAAGCACUUUCAGUGAGGAAGAACGCCUGGUGGUUAAUACCCAUCAGGAAAGACAUCACUCACAGAAGAAGCACCGGCUAACUCCGUGCCAGCAGCCGCGGUAAUACGGAGGGUGCGAGCGUUAAUCGGAAUUACUGGGCGUAAAGCGCGCGUAGGUGGCUUGAUAAGCCGGUUGUGAAAGCCCCGGGCUCAACCUGGGAACGGCAUCCGGAACUGUCAAGCUAGAGUGCAGGAGAGGAAGGUAGAAUUCCCGGUGUAGCAGUGAAAUGCGUAGAGAUCGGGAGGAAUACCAGUGGCGAAGGCGGCCUUCUGGACUGACACUGACACUGAGGUGCGAAAGCGUGGGUAGCAAACAGGAUUAGAUACCCGGGUAGUC
rnacentral:rRNA from 1 species